rnacentral:rRNA from 1 species
UACGUAGGUGGCAAGCGUUGUCCGGAUUUACUGGGCGUAAAGAGCGCGCAGGCGGUCGUGCAAGUCGCGUGUGAAAGCCCCCGGCUCAACUGGGGAGGGUCACGCGAUACUGCUCGACUGGAAGGCAGGAGAGGGAAGUGGAAUUCCCGGUGUAGUGGUGAAAUGCGUAGAUAUCGGGAGGAACACCAGUGGCGAAGGCGA